UACGUAGGGUGCAAGCGUUGUCCGGAAUUAUUGGGCGUAAAGAGCUCGUAGGCGGUUUGUUGCGUCGGCUGUGAAAUCCCGAGGCUCAACCUCGGGUCUGCAGUCGAUACGAGCAAACUAGAGUGUUGCAGGGGAGACUGGAAUUCCUGGUGUAGCGGUGAAAUGCGCAGAUAUCAGGAGGAACACCGGUGGCGAAGGCGGGUCUCUGGGCAGUAACUGACGCUGGAGGAGCGAAAAGCCGUGGGGGAGCGAACAGG
rnacentral:rRNA from 1 species